rfam:Brachypodium distachyon strain Bd21 chromosome 3, whole genome shotgun sequence.
CAGGGUACCCUUUGACCCUCCUUAGUUCAACCAAAAUGAACUAAAGUUUUAAAAUGACACAACUUUUUGAAAAACUAGUUCAUUUGUUUGAACUAAGGAGGGUCAAAGGGUACCCUG